rnacentral:tRNA from 1 species
GUUAUUUUGGCAGAAUAUGUGUUAUAUUUAGAGUAUAAUUAAGGGAUUUCCCAAAUAACU